AGUUGCCAGCAGGUCAAGCUGGGCACUCUAGAGGGACUGCCGGUGACAAACCGGAGGAAGGCGGGGAUGACGUCAAGUCCUCAUGGCCCUUAUGCGUCGGGCUACACACAUGCUACAAUGGCCAGUACAAAGGGAAGCCAAGGAGCGAUCUGGAGCCAAUCCCACAAAGCUGGUCGUAGUCCGGAUUGUUCUCUGCAACUCGAGAACAUGAAGUCGGAAUCGCUAGUAAUCGCCGGAUCAGCUACGCCGCGGUGAAUACGUUCCCGGGCCUU
rnacentral:rRNA from 1 species